UAAGCAAGAUGUGAAUCGUAUGGCUCAACCAUAUAACAUUUCUUGAACUGGCAAGCUAGAGGACGAGAGAGGUUAUUGGAAUUUCUGGUGUAGGAGUGAAAUCCGUAGAUAUUAGAGGAACACCGAUGGCGUAGGCAGAUAACUGGCUCGUUCCUGACGCUCAGACACGAAAGCAUGGGUAGCAAACGGGAUUAGAUACCCGGUAGUCCAUGCCGUAAACUAUGGAUGCUA
rnacentral:rRNA from 1 species